GAUGAACGCUGGCGGCGUGCCUAAUACAUGCGAGUCGAGCGAACAGACGAGGAGCUUGCUCCUCUGACGUUAGCGGCGGACGGGUGAGUAACACGUGGAUAACCUACCUAUCAGACUGGGAUAACUUCGGGAAACCGGAGCUAAUACCGGAUAAUAUAUUGAACCGCAUGGUUCAAUAGUGAAAGACGGUUUUGCUGUCACUUAUAGAUGGAUCCGCGCCGCAUUAGCUAGUUGGUAAGGUAAAGGCUUACCAAGGCAACGAUGCGUAGCCGACCUGAGAGGGUGAUCGGCCACACUGGAGCUUAGACACGGUCCAGACUCCUACGGGAGGCAGCAGUAGGGAAUCUUCCGCAAUGGGCGAAAGCCUGACGGAGCAACGCCGCGUGAGUGAUGAAGGUCUUCGGAUCGUAAAACUCUGUUAUUAGGGAAGAACAAAUGUGUAAGUAACUAUGCACGUCUUGACGGUACCUAAUCAGAAAGCCACGGCUAACUACGUG
rnacentral:rRNA from 1 species